CAAAGCGCUGCUCAAUUUGGCAGAGUGCUGCGUCCCGAACGCAGAGGCUGCAGGCUCGAAUCCUGCCGCUUCAA
rnacentral:tRNA from 1 species